UUGAAAAGAAGGAGAUAAGCAUUAAAUAAAUCAUACAACUGUAUUAUCCUACGACUAACUGCAUUAAAAUACCGGUAUUUGUUUGAAGUCAUUAGCAAAAUUCAUUAAUGAAAUAAUGCUAAAAUAAUGUACGAAUGCCUCACUCCACCAUUACCACUCGGUCCACUCCAACACAAGGAGGCGCGGUGGCUUCAUGGUUAGUGGGCUCGUCUCCGGAUCCAGUGGUCAGGGUUAGAGCCCUGACUGGGGACAUUCUACACUUUACUCUUACAGUGCCUUUCUCUGCCCAGGUGUCUAAAUGGUGACCGGCGAACUUAAUGCUGGGGGAGCCCUACAAUGGACCAGUAUCCCAUCUAGGGGGGAGUAGAAAUACUCCUAGUCACUUCAUGCUACUGAAACUGGGAUAAGCUCCGGCCUGAUGGGCCACUUGGCUUGUAUGCAGGCUUAACCUUUACCCACUCCAACACAUCGCCUCUUCCACGAGGAAUUGUUUUCGCUGUAAACCACAUUCAAAUCUUACGUAUACACGUACAGUGUACCUUUGAAAAUUGCUUUUAUCUGUCUUCGUUCAUCUCGGCUCAUAAUUCUGUCCUCCUCUUUCACAACUGUGUAUGGCGUUUCAAGUUGCACCACACCUAGUUAGUCUGCAUUGUGUGAUUGCCUAGUGCCCUCUCCUUGGUGUCCUCUCCCUGGUGCCCAACUAUCCAUCUUGGAAAAAUACUGUACCCUUGCAAGAAGCCUGCGUUGCAGCCUAAGCGGAGACCAGGUAGGGAGGAAAACACGCGAGGAGAAAGGGGAGGAACUCUCUCUCCCGCCCCUCCCUCUUCCAUCUACGCUCUCCCUCUCACGCUCAGUACCCUAGCUACCUUGCGAGUACAUUACCCUUUUACUUCUGGUUGUUUAGUUCUAAUAUCUUGUAUUUCUCUCGUUACAUCUUCUAGGUUUAUUUUGAGGACUCUACUGGGGAAAAGUUAUGUUUGGUAGAGAGCAAUAGCUGCCUCAAAGAUAUUCUUUCAGACUCCAGGUUGGUAGUAAAACAAAGAACACCUUCAUUUAUAAUUCUCAGUAAAGAAUCUUCAUUCCGGGCAAGUUUUCUUCAGCGUUAUCAAGUGGAGCGAUGACAUGACAUAACCCAAUUCGACGUCGGGAAAAGUCGAGCUUGCCUUCGUCGGAUCCUCGUGAAAUACCGAAGAGCUUCCGAUUGUCCUCGUCUAGUCAAAACAUAGCGCGAUAACUGACAAGCACUCCGUCGUCAGCUCGGCGUCAUACGCCCACGUCAUCAUGUUGCCAAGCAACAGCUGUGUCGUGAACCGCGGGCUCGGCUGAUUCUGAACCAAGCUGUCAGAUUCUGCGACGAACAAAGGAUGACGAAAACGGAAAAAGGCCCCUCCUUACAAUAUUUCCUCGCUUUGUCUUGUAUUUCUUAUUUCUAAGUACCUUCACUGAUGGGGAAAGCAAAGGAUUUGUGAUAUUUCCAAAACUGUCCGUCGCUCUACACAUCACACAAUGAGAAGAUUUAUUAUGCAUAUUGCAUAAAUUAAAUAUUAUUUAUUCUUUUCAGUUCCUGCUCCCUGAAAAUUUCAGUUAUAAAUAUGGCCAGCAUAUAAAUUUCCAAAUUUCAGAUUUAAAAUUUAAAACAAAUUACUGCAUCUUAAAAUUCGUGUCACUCGAAAGACAUGUCUCAUCAUGAAAUAUAAACAAACACAUUUACUCCA
rnacentral:lncRNA from 1 species